rnacentral:hammerhead_ribozyme from 1 species
AUGCAAAGAUGACGAGUCCCAAAUAGGAUGAAACGAGCGUCCUGCAU